rnacentral:rRNA from 1 species
GACGAACGCUGGCGGCGUGCUUAACACAUGCAAGUCGAACGAUGAAGUUCCUUCGGGGAUGGAUUAGUGGCGAACGGGUGAGGAACACGUGAAGAAUCUGCCCUCCACUUUGGGAUAACUCCGGGAAACCGGGGCUAAUACCGAAUAUUGAAACAUAAGCGGCAUCGCUGAGUUUUGAAAGAAUUUCGGUGGAGGAUGACUUCGCGGCCUAUCAGCUUGUUGGUGAGGUAAUGGGCUCACCAAGGCAACGACGGGUAGCCGGCCUGAGAGGGCGACCGGCCACACUGGGACUGAGACACGGCCCAGACUCCUACGGGAGGCAGCAGUGGGGAAUAUUGGGCAAUGGACGCAAGUCUGACCCAGCGACGCCGCGUGCGGGAUGAAGGCCUUAGGGUUGUAAACCGCUUUCAGCAGGGAAGAAGCGAAAGUGACGGUACCUGCAAAAGAAGCACCGGCUAACUAUGUG